rnacentral:rRNA from 1 species
GACGAACGCUGGCGGCGUGCUUAACACAUGCGAGUCGAACGGACAGGCCCUGCCUUUGUGGGGUGCUCGAGUGGCGAACGGGUGCGUAACACGUGAGUAACCUGCGCUAGCCUUUGGGAUAACUUCAGGAAACUGGGGCUAAUACUGGCUAGUAGCUCCUGCUGCAUGGUGGGGGUUGGAAAGUUUCGGCGGUUGGGGAUGGACUCGCGGCUUAUCAGCUUGUUGGUGGGGUAGUGGCUUACCAAGGCUUGGACGGGUAGCCGGCCUGAGAGGGAGACCGGCCACAGUGGGACUGAGAUGCGGCCAAGAGUGAUACGGGGGGCAUGAGUGGGGAAUAGUGCACGAUGGGCGGAAGCCGGAUGCAGGAAUGCCGGGUGGGGGAUGACGGUUGUCGGGGUGGAAACCGCUUGAGCGUGGGACGAAGAGUGAGUGACGGUAAUUUAUAAAGAAGCAACGGCUAACUACGUG